CUGUGGUAUCUUUAACAUAAAAAUAAACAAAAAAUCUAACCCGAUUUAUGUUUUGUUAAUCUUUAGUUUAUCAUAAUAAUGUUUAUUAUAUUUAUUUCUGAUUAACAUGUAAAAUGCAAAUCAUACAUCAUGGGGAAUGAACUUAACUUUAAAAAACUUAAUAUUCUAAUUCACAUUUUUCAAAAAAAAAAAAAAUUCUAAUUCACAUGUGAAUCUCUUUUAUCCAUCUUGGUCCACUUGUCGCCCCCACUUCCCCAUGCAGCCCACAACAUUAUUCAUAUCGUCGUGAAUUUGAUAAUUUCCUCC
rnacentral:lncRNA from 1 species